rnacentral:rRNA from 1 species
AUAAUCCUACGGGGCGCAGCAGUGGGGAAUAUUGGGCAAUGGGCGCAAGCCUGACCCAGCAACGCCGCGUGAAGGAAGAAGGCUUUCGGGUUGUAAACUUCUUUUAUCAGGGACGAAGCAAGUGACGGUACCUGAUGAAUAAGCCACGGCUAACUACGUGCCAGCAGCCGCGGUAAUACGUAGGUGGCAAGCGUUAUCCGGAUUUACUGGGUGUAAAGGGCGUGUAGGCGGGAGUGCAAGUCAGAUGUGAAAACU